rnacentral:tRNA from 1 species
GCGCCCGUGGCUCAGCUGGAUAGAGCAACGGCCUUCUAAGCCGUGGGUCGCAGGUUCGAGUCCUGCCGGGCGCGCCA